rnacentral:rRNA from 1 species
GACGAACCGAGCGAACGUUGUUCGGAAUUACUGGGCGUAAAGGGCGCGUAGGCGGCCCGCUAAGUCGAACGUGAAAUCCCCGAGCUCAACUCGGGAACUGCGUCCGAUACUGGCGGGCUUGAAUCCGGGAGAGGGAUGCGGAAUUCCAGGUGUAGCGGUGAAAUGCGUAGAUAUCUGGAGGACACCGGUGGCGAAGGCGGCAUCCUGGACCGGCAUUGACGCUGAGGCGCGAAAGCGUGGGGAGCAAACAGG